GGCCGCGUAGUGUAGUGGUUAGGUAUGUCUCUCUCAAAAUACCUGCUUGUCUUGAGCUAGGUCACUAACAAUAGAAAUAGCACGCAGGAUUUUGAUUACUAUCAAUCAAGCUUUCCUGAGACCUGAGUUCAAUCCUCGGCGGGGCCU